rnacentral:rRNA from 1 species
AGAGUUUGAUCAUGGCUCAGAUUGAACGCUGGCGGCAUGCCUUACACAUGCAAGUCGAACGGCAGCGCGGGGCAACCUGGCGGCGAGUGGCGAACGGGUGAGUAAUAUAUCGGAACAUACCUUAGAGUGGGGGAUAACGUAGCGAAAGUUACGCUAAUACCGCAUACGCACUAAGGUGGAAAGUGGGGGAUUCGCAAGAACCUCAUGCUCAUGGAGUGGCCGAUAUCUGAUUAGCUAGUUGGUGAGGUAAAGGCUCACCAAGGCGACGAUCAGUAGCUGGUUUGAGAGGACGACCAGCCACACUGGAACUGAGACACGGUCCAGACUCCUACGGGAGGCAGCAGUGGGGAAUUUUGGACAAUGGGGGCAACCCUGAUCCAGCAAUGCCGCGUGAGUGAAGAAGGCCUUCGGGUUGUAAAGCUCUUUUGUCAGGGAAGAAACGGUGAGUUCUAAUAAAGCUUGCUAAUGACGGUACCUGAAGAAUAAGCACCGGCUAACUACGUG